ACCUGUUCAUGCUCGUGUCUGCCAAAAUACGCUUGUGAGAUAAGGGUCCUGUGUGCUAAUGUCUUGUCAUCGAUGCUCUGCCUUCGGUUAUUCUUUCAAAAAGACUUGAACGAUUUUAUGCUUUAGAAAUUUUAAAAAAUCUUUUCGAGGACAAAUGUGCUUUUAAUGAGAAAUCCAAGAAAUGUCCAAAGCCUAUUAGUUAGGGUGGAAAUAACUGUGGAACAAAAUUAUUUUAAAAAAGGAAAACAAAUAGUUGAUACCAUGGGAUUUUUUCCUGACAGUUUUCUGUAUUACUAAGAGAAAAAAAGAAAAAAAAAAAAUAAAAAUAAAGUCGGAGUAAUUCUUGAGAAUAAAGUCGGAAUAAUUUGAGAA